AGUGAACGCUGGCGGCAGGCCUAAUACAUGCAAGUCGAACGGCAGCACAGCAGAGCUUGCUCUGCGGGUGGCGAGUGGCGGACGGGUGAGGAAUACAUGGGAAUCUGCCCAGUCGUGGGGGAUAACGUAGGGAAACUUACGCUAAUACCGCAUGCGCCCUUCGGGGGAAAGCCGGGGACCUUCGGGCCUGGCGCGAUUGGAUGAGCCCAUGUCGGAUUAGCUAGUUGGCGGGGUAAUGGCCCACCAAGGCGACGAUCCGUAGCUGGUCUGAGAGGAUGAUCAGCCACACUGGAACUGAGACACGGUCCAGACUCCUACGGGAGGCAGCAGUAGGGAAUAUUGGACAAUGGGCGCAAGCCUGAUCCAGCCAUGCCGCGUGA
rnacentral:rRNA from 1 species